rnacentral:rRNA from 1 species
AUGGUACUUUAUGAAUAAGGGUCGGCUAACUUCGUGCCAGCAGCCGCGGUAAUACGAAGGACCCAAGCGUUAUCCGGAUUUACUGGGUUUAAAGGGUGCGUAGGUGGACUUGUAAGUCAGUGGUGAAAUCCCCAAGCUCAACUUGGGAACUGCCAUUGAUACUGCUAGUCUUGAGUAUAGUUGAGGUAGGCGGAAUAUGUCAUGUAGUGGUGAAAUACUUAGAUAUGACAUAGAACACCGAUUGCGAAGGCAGCUUGCUAAGCUAUAACUGACACUGAUGCACGAAAGCGUGGGGAGCAAACAGGAUUAGAUACCCUGGCAGUCCACGCCCUAAACGAUGAUAACUCGAUGUUGGCGAUACACUGUCAGCGUCCAAGCGAAAGCAUUAAGUUAUCCACCUGGGGAGUACGACCGCAAGGUUGAAACUCAAAGGAAUUGACGGGGGCCCGCACAAGCGGAGGAGCAUGUGGUUUAAUUCGAUGAUACGCGAGGAACCUUACCCGGGCUUGAAAGUUAGUGAAUGAUUUAGAAAUAGAUCAGCUAGCAAUA